UACGGAGGGGGCUAGCGUUGCUCGGAAUCACUGGGCGUAAAGCGCACGUAGGCGGAUCUUUAAGUCAGGGGUGAAAUCCCAAGGCUCAACCUUGGAACUGCCUUUGAUACUGGGGAUCUCGAGUCCGGAAGAGGUUGGUGGAACUCCGAGUGUAGAGGUGAAAUUCGUAGAUAUUCGGAAGAACACCAGUGGCGAAGGCGGCCAACUGGUCCGGCACUGACGCUGAGGUGCGAAAGCGUGGGGAGCAAACAGG
rnacentral:rRNA from 1 species